UUUCCCACCGCUUCCCAGUAUCGCCCCCCCGUCUCAAAAAGCAAACCAUACGUGGUUGUCAAACAAACAUAGUGAACUCCUCAGCUGCUGUGUCUGCUCCCGUCAACGGUUCCGCCGGUAACGCACAACGCUUUGAAUACCGUGCUCACUAAAGAGGAAACGGACAGAGCCGCUGGCCAGUGGACAUCAGGUUCGGGUUACAGCGCUGGUCCAGGCCCAACAUCAGGGUAGAGGACGCCAUCAUCUACCCCCUGCAAUGGGCGCCCACCCACCUGGAGAUCGCCGGCUGUGCAGUGAGGGUUCUUUGACUUCUCCAGCGCUUUCAAAACCAUCAGACCAGUGCUGCUGGGGGGGACGCUGGAGGACGUGGAAGUGGAUAGACAUCUGACUGCCUGGACCAUCGACUGCCUCACCGACCAUCCACAGUACGUGUGAAUGCGCAGCUGUGAGUCAGAGGUGGUAGUCUGCAGCACAGGAGCACCCCAGGGCACCGUCCUCUCACCUUUCCUCUUCACCAUCUACACCUCGAACUUCACCUACAACACAGACAGCUGCCAUCUUCAGAAGUUCUCUCAUGACUCAUAGUGGGCUUUGUGUCAGAGGGGAACGAGCUGGAGUACCGGUCAGUCAUUAUGGACUUUGUGGACUGGUGUGAGCGCAACCACCUGUGCUUGAACGCCAGUAAAACAAAGGAGAUGGUGGUUGACUUCAGAAGGAGACUACCACACUCACCAGUGAACAUCCAGGGGGCGGACACAGGAAUGGUUUUGAAACUUUGCUCAAGUAAAAAAAAGCAGGGUUAAUCAUUCUGAUGAGUCAGAAAGCUCUGUUUGCAUGUUUAAACAUCCCUUUUACUGUUUUUACUGUGUUAAUGUGCAUGUUUUAUGCAGUUUUUAUUCAUGAGGAAGUACAUAUCAGCGUUCAACAAAAUAAUGCCUAUUUUAUGCACAUACCACAUUCAAAUGGCCACACAUGCCUAUUUUUGUUGUAGGCCCUCAUAUGGGAAACAUAUGCCAAUAACUGUCAAGAGAAGGAUAUUGUUCAAUAAAAAUGUUGAAUUUGUCA